rnacentral:lncRNA from 1 species
GCUAUAGAUAGUUUUGUUUUGCCAGCAUACAAUAUAAUUGCAGUUGAAGGCAAAUCCUUCAGAAGUUCUUUAUACUUUAUUCUAACAACGAACAUUUUUGAUAGGGAAUAUAAGUAAGGGGAAAGAAACCAAUGUUGAUAUCUUUUUAUAAUAUUUACAAAAAAAAAACGGUGCGGGAAAAAACAUGAUUACAUUUCCGGAUGCGGGAAGCGGGAAUAUAAAAAAAAUAAAAAAAAUCUGUUUUGAAAAAAAUAGGUGCGGGCGGGUCCGUCGAACAAGGAAUCAAAUUGGUGUGGCCUAAU